rnacentral:rRNA from 1 species
UACGUAGGGUGCAAGCGUUGUCCGGAAUUAUUGGGCGUAAAGAGCUCGUAGGCGGUUCGUCGCGUCGGCUGUGAAAUCCCGAGGCUCAACCUCGGGUCUGCAGUCGAUACGGGCGGACUGGAGUUCGGCAGGGGAGACUGGAAUUCCUGGUGUAGCGGUGAAAUGCGCAGAUAUCAGGAGGAACACCAGUGGCGAAGGCGGUCAACUGGCCCGAAACUGACGCUGAGGCACGAAAGCGUGGGUAGCGAACAGG